GGGAAGGUUCCGGAGUGGUUAAACGGGACAGACUGUAAAUCUGUUUGCUUAGGCAUACGUUGGUUCGAACCCAACCCUUCCCA
rnacentral:tRNA from 1 species